GCCGACUCUUUGCACUGGGGUUUCGCACACCUCUGCUCACGCCGUGUCAGUCGUCGUUGACUCUCAGCCGUUCGCGGGUGGCAGAUCUAAGAUCGUGGGUUUGACGUCGUUGUUGAUCCGUCUUGUCGUCCAGAGCCACUUCUUCGUCCGACGCUGCCCAGCUCCUACUGUCGUCGCAGUUGCUGUCACAUCUCUUUUGGGUUCAGUUUGGACAAAUAAAUAGAACUUUAGAACUGGCCUCGAACCAAGCCGCGACUUCGGGUGGAUUCAAAGUCUUCCAAGAGUUGUAAGAAGGUUAAUUACUUGGGUUAAUUUGGGAUCAAAUUUGAAGUAAGGAUAAAGAUGCACCGGCGAUAACGCAGCGGAAUUCAUGAUCGAGCCACUAGGACUAGU